rnacentral:miRNA from 3 species
UAAGGCACGCGGUGAAUACC